ensembl:lncRNA
CUAAACUUUAGGCUAUUUUGAAAAUCCAGAAAUGUGUUCAUUUCUGAUUAUGCUUCAGGCAUUGUCAAGGACAUCUGAAGAAUGAAUGAAGUAGCUCAGCCAAGAGGAGCACUUUUUAGCCAAUAAAGAAAGAGUUUAAUGAGUUUGGGAUGUUAACAUCCGGUUGUCAUGAGUAAUCGAGGCUGGGAUGUACUGCAAGGGUUUUACUUCUGCACUGCUGCAAGGAGCAAAGUGGCUCCUGUAGCCAUUGGUGCUAACAAAAAAUAACAAUGAAUGACUACUGCCUUAGGUCAUUCUAGGGUGGCGUGAAUGUGUUGGCUAAUUUCACAAGUGAUGCUCCAUCAUAUCAAAUGUACUGUACUUUCCAUCGCUUCCUGUAAAUUACCGCAGAAGAGGUGAACAGAAGUUGUUAAAAUACGACACAAACCCAAACUUCUUGCCCCGUUGUAAUCCAAGGUGCUAAUCUGCAGACACACGGGCAUUUGGGUACGUGCAUUCGUGUUUGCAGGACCAUGGCCCUGAAGGAUCAUUUUCAUGUCAGGGUUGAGAUCAGGGAACUCACAUGGGGAACUGAGAAACCCCUGUGACUUUGAAAUGGCAAAAGUUGCAGAAAGCAUCACAGGAUUUUGUCCCCAAACUGGCUACAUCUAACAGUUUUCCUUUUGAUUUUUUCCUUGGUUCGUUUUGUUUCUAUCCAAAUUGGCAAAGAACACUGUAUUUCCAUCAAUUACGGUCCUGCCUGGUAGCUAACUAAACAACCUGUUCAUGGAAAACUAAGAAAUAAAUAAGUAAACUGUCAAUUGUGGAAUGUAAACUGAUUAAACAAAUAAAGAACUCAUGUCGUGUGUUUUAAGAGACCGUCUGCUUGUGUCAGGAGUGGGGACAGGCACCUCACACCUCACUGCCCCAGCUGAAGGAUGGAGGGAAAAGAGGAGCUGGGGGCCCACCAUUUUCUAGCUGAUAGCUCUUCCUGAGGUGAAUGGGUUUUGCAUUUUGUAGGAUGGAAUCCUUCUCACCACCAAGGAGGUCCUGUCUCAGGUAUCGGUUGCAACAAGGAACAGAAUGGAGCAUGAAUGAAGGAGACAGCACUUGCCACCUGCCUGCGCCUUGCCAGGAGCUGCUGCCUGUCAAGAAGAAAACGACGGCUUCCCAAUCCUAAGCAAGACCAUCCAGGAUGUCACCCAGAAGCAGGGGAUGAGCCCAGGAGAUGCUGGAUCACUGUCAGAGAGCUCAACUUGGUUGCGUUUCCAGCAUCCCCCAGGGCCUGCGCAGGGACUGGUGUGUGCCAUGAGAUUCCAGCAACGUCAUCCCUGCUGAGAGGUCUCCCCGCUCCCACAGGAAGGAUGUGACCAUUUCUGGUGCUCGCCGCACCUUUAUGUGGUGAUGGAGUCAUGUCAAAUAGCCAGGCUCUAGAAGAGAACCUUGUGAUUGAAACAAGGUUUUCUUGAACUAUUUAAAUCUUUCUCAGGAAAUAAUGCAUGAGAACAAUCUGUUUCAGAAUUAUCCAUCACUCAGUGUGAGAUUCCCGUGCAAUUUCACUGCUACAUUGCCUAUAUAUUUUUUUUUGUCUGUUUGUUUAAUGAGUGUUGCAGUUGUAGUAAUGAGAUUACUGGUAAUACCAAACAGAUUUUCGGAAUGAUGAGAAGAUAAUUAGACGAUAUCUUGAGGGUGAUUUCUGUUUAAGACACAGUAACUAUGUCACGGAGUAAAUAAAUGUGGAGAAGGAAGAUAACAGUGCUUAUUAGCCUAAGAUACAAUGAUUUCCAAAUUACCAGGAAAUACAUUUCAUUGUGGUGAACGACAUGGUGACUGAUGCUUGGCCCAAGCUGGCCCAUCUGUUGUGAGGCAGGACUCAGCUAGGCUCAGAGGAACUCGAUGAUCUCCAGAGGUCCCACCCAACCUCUACAGUUCUGUGAUUCUGGCGACCUGAUGUUUGCUGCAGCCACAAUGCCAGCUUCAGCAUAGACUGUGAGGUUUUGACAAGCCCAAGUGAUUGAGCUGCACACCCAGAAGGGCAGCUUCUGGGCUCUGCCGGCUUCCAAGGGCUCUGCUUGUCCAGCUCCCGUCACCUGUGAGUGACCAGCAACAAAAGCCUGACAGCACAGCAGUGACAGGGAUGCUCACUACAAGAUCAGAGAUCGAAGACCCCACUUUCCUUUCUAAAUCAACCCUUAGUGACACUUCAGGAUUACAGUAAGGAACCUGCUGCUGCUGCAUGGAUCCGUGCCUCCAAAUGGGGACAAGCGGCCACAUAGCCUUGAACCCACAGACUUCAGUGGAUGCCCGCCCCUCCUGGGGACACAUCAGACACAUCCUCCACUUCCUCUCUGCUCUCCUGGAUUUGGAGAAGACCACGUAGCUCACCGUGUGCCAGAGGCAGCCAUCUCAAGUGAAUAUGCAGCUGCUGGUGUCCCACUGCUCUCAUAAAGUGCUGGCAGCCCCCAUACAUCCACAUAAACAGAUGCACAGCACUGGAACGCGUCCUCUGCCAGCCAAAUGGAGCACCGAAAUCAGCCACGUAUGCACGGUGAGUCUCAGCAGCU